rnacentral:rRNA from 1 species
GACGAACGCUGGCGGCGUGCCUAAUACAUGCAAGUCGAGCGAAUCUUUUGGGAGCUUGCUCCCUUAAGAUUAGCGGCGGACGGGUGAGUAACACGUGGGUAACCUGCCUGUAAGACUGGGAUAACUUCGGGAAACCGGAGCUAAUACCGGAUACUUUCUUUUCUCGCAUGAGGGAAGAUGGAAAGAUGGUUCUGCUAGCACUUACAGCUGGACCCGCGGCGCAUUAGCUAGUUGGUGAGGUAACGCCUCCCCAAGGCGACGAGGCGUAGCCGACCUGAGAGGGUGAUCGGCCACACUGGGACUGAGACACGGCCCAGACUCCUACGGGAGGCAGCAGUAGGGAAUCUUCCGCAAUGGACGAAAGUCUGACGGAGCAACGCCGCGUGAGCGAAGAAGGCCUUCGGGUCGUAAAGCUCUGUUGUUAGGGAAGAACAAGUACGAGAGUAACUGCUCGUACCUUGACGGUACCUAACCAGAAAGCCACGGCUAACUACGUGCCAGCAGCCGCCGUAACAC